UACGAAGGGGGCUAGCGUUGCUCGGAAUCACUGGGCGUAAAGCGCACGUAGGUGGAUCGCUAAGUCAGGGGUGAAAUCCUGGAGCUCAACUCCAGAACUGCCUUUGAUACUGGCAAUCUCGAGUCCGGGAGAGGUGAGUGGAACUGCGAGUGUAGAGGUGAAAUUCGUAGAUAUUCGCAAGAACACCAGUGGCGAAGGCGGCUCACUGGCCCGAUACUGACGCUGAGGCACGAAAGCGUGGGGAGCAAACAGG
rnacentral:rRNA from 1 species